rnacentral:rRNA from 1 species
CUCGUAGGCGGUUCGUCGCGUCCGGUGUGAAAGUCCAUCGCUUAACGGUGGAUCCGCGCCGGGUACGGGCGGGCUUGAGUGCGGUAGGGGAGACUGGAAUUCCCGGUGUAACGGUGGAAUGUGUAGAUAUCGGGAAGAACACCAAUGGCGAAGGCAAGUCUCUGGGCCGUUACUGACGCUGAGGAGCGAAAGCGUGGGGAGCGAACA